rnacentral:lncRNA from 1 species
UAGAGCGGAUGACGUCACAUAUCCUCAUUAGCAUAUUACAGCGGCUUACGUCAUAUGUCAUCAUUAGCAUACGGAGGACUAUAAAUGACACGCGCGCCGUCGCCGCGCCACACUGCUGCAGACGCCACACCUUGGACCGUAACUUUCAACGUCCGUCAGACUCCGACUCAAAUCGCAAACAUGUCCGACAAGCCCAAGCUCGAAGAGGUAACCUCUUUCGACAAGACCAAGCUGAAGAAGACCGAGACCAAGGAGAAGAACGUUCUUCCCUCGCAAGAAAUCAUCGACCAGGAGAAGAAGGCAGAGUAAUGUCCUCCUUCCAGCCCUCUCUGCCCCCAGCUCACCACCUCCUCCCCACUCCCUCCAUUGCCUUUCUGUCACUUCAGAUGUUAUUUUUUUUAUUUAGCUGUAUAACUUUGUAACCGAAAAUAUGAAAGGAAGGCCAAAAAAUACACCAUAGAGCGGGCUAGAACGCCCUCCCCUGCAUGGAUCCACCCCCUGCUGUCAUCGCAAAACCCACCGUCGGACGUCUAAGAUGUCCGUCGCCUGGGUGGCGACGUGACGCUACAGGAGGGGAGGAGGCCUGAGAGGAAGAGGAUAAUGAAGAGGACCCCCCCCCCCCCUCUGUUGGGCUUGUGGUGUUCGAGGACCGGAGGGCGGGUGUCCUUGUUCAGAAUGUAAUGAGGGCGUGGCCUUCAUGUCACAGGAAGCUCCUUCUCCUCUUCCUCGUCUCGCCCUUAUCACUUCCUGCUUCUGGCCGCUUCUGCUGACCCGCCGUAACCAUGGCGACUAGCGUCUCUUUCGUUUUCUACGUUUCGGAGAUGCACAAUCUUUAUUUUUUUUACGCUGGUUAAAUUCUUAUGCAUCAUGAAACGGAUGAGAUGGAAGCCAUCUAGAUCUGGGAAAAUGAAAAUCAAACCACUGACUUUAUUCGUCUCUCCGUUGCAAUUGUGUAGAUAUAGUACCGUUUUGCACCCUAUAUCGCCCCCCCAAUAAUGCAGAAACAACGCAUGCUGGGAAUUGGUUCCAGAUAUCAACUGUUGGUCUAAAUUCACAAAAUGAAUAAUCUUUUUGGGGGUUUCUGUAAGAACCCAUGUUAAACCACAAACCAUUACCAGUACUGGCAAACCGUUAAAUGUUGUAAUAAAAAAAUUAUUUGAUAAAACAAAGACUGCAGUUGUGUUGUUUUUCCCCUUCGACCCUUGUAGAAAACGACUGGCCAUGGCCAUCUUGUCAUCUAUUGGAAAUUUGUUCAUUAGAUGCAUAUUUAGCUUUUUUUUUGUCACCCAAUCUCAAAAGCUGAACCCAAACUUGUUCAAACAAAGGCAGCGAUUCAUGCAGGGAAUAGUUACAGUUCAGUUUUUUGGUUUUGAUUCUUAAAUGAGUCAUUUUUCAUGUUUGAACUUUCAAAAUCUGAAAACGUAAACACAAAAUGCACAUUGCAGUAAGACUGAUCCAGGAAGUGGGACUUGGACUACCCUGCCUACUUGGGGUUAGAUCCUCUUCCCACUGACGAGCAGGUCUUCACUGACACUGAUAAGAUGGACGGCAUUUAUUGAUUGUAUCAGAGGUGGUAACACGUUGAGGCCCUUGUAACUCAUACUCAUACGGAUUGGGAUGGCCUCGCUACCCUAAUAGCGGCCUGUCCUUAAGGUAUGUGCUGGCGUCUCGCCGCGUGAAGUUUAGCCGACUAACCCUGUCCUGAAUUAGCAAAGCCCUCCUGGGCCUGGCAUUACCUGGACAUGACAUCAACGUCACACCACCUCUUGAACAAAUAUCAAACAUUAAUCGUGGGAAUUAUGUAAUAAGAGCAAGCUAAAUAUGAAAUGCAUCUAUUUCUCUCAAGUAUAUCCAACUCUGUCACUUUGUUUACAACAUAGCAUCCGUUUUCCAUAAUUUAUAGCAAUUCAUUCAUAGCGAAAGAGCGAACUAUUGUGAAUUUAUCACAAAAAGGUAUUUCACCACCUAUUUUAUUUAAACAGCAAUUAUACAUCUCUCUCUAUAUUCAACAGUAUAUAUAUAUGUUACAUUUUUGUUACAUUUGUUUUAGUGUUCUUUAGUGGUCUUCUUUAGUAUUUUAUCCGGUCUUUUGGUCAUUUGUUUUUGUCUCUUUUCCACAGCAAUGCAAUUCUGGAGGAUUAACAUUUCUGGUAUCUCGGUGACUGGGCCUGUGGUUUCAUUGGGUUAAUCAUGC